CUCCGGAACAAGAUGUAAGACAACCUCAAGGCUGACCUUGUCAUACGCAUGGACCACUUCUGGUCCAGAGAAAUCUGAUCCAAUAAAUUCUUUGUUCAUGAAGAUCUGGGAAAGGGCCUCCUUGUCAUCGGCCUGCAGAGUGGCUGGCUACCCCCAGUUACCUCAUUUAGAUUUCCCGGGAGUGAUUGAGACCUCAGGCCCCUUGGUCCCUAAGACGUGGAUUCAGUUUCAGGUUAGGGGAGGGUGUCUUUAAAGACCUUAUCACUAUUUUUGAGCAAGAGAAAUGUGUCUUCAAUUCCUACAUUUCCCUUGCCUCUCCUCCAAAUCCCCUUCAUUUCCACUCUUAGCCUUUCCAAAUUCUUUUAAGGGUUAGAGAUAGAUCUUCAUCUAAAUAUCCCCAAACUGGUUCUCAUCCACCUACUCUGAAAGUCCUGUUUUUGCUUUCUCAUGGCUCAUCUGUAAGUGGCCUCGAUCCCACAUCUUACGGCCCUGGUCAAAAAUGUGCUGCAGUGGUUCCAUCGAAACAUUCUGUUUCACCUCCAUCCAAACAGAAUGCUGGCAAAAGUAAUGACUAAUCAGUUCAUAGAUGCAUUCGUGUAAAGAGCUAACACACGUCGUACAAGAUGCUCCGCAUAAUUAUAUAAUCUUGGAAAUGUGAUCAGAGCAAUUAGAUAUCAUACUUAUUUAUCACAUUGGUGGGACGUAAAUGAUCGAAAACAGCCAGUAUGAGUGGCAUCUAGGAAUGUGAAGCACUGUUGGUAGGGUGUGCGUCGGUAUAGUCUUCUCUGGAGAGCCCUCCGUCAGUCUCCAUUAGGAGAAGAAAAGUGCACGUUCUUUGAGUGAUCACUUUAUACCUCACUUUGUACCUUGUACCUGCAAAGACGUGAAAAGACAUUCCUCGCAGCAUUACCUAUGAGAAGGAGACCUAGAAACAACCAGCCUAUCAGUGGGCUAUUAUUUAACUAUUAAUAGUUAAAUGAGCAAUUUCCAAAUCCCCCUCGAAGUUAUUAGCAUAAUAAUCGUGGAGGUCAUGUGGGUCACUUCUAGGCUACAUCCUUUUAAAAAGUAGAGGUGUCUCCUCUAGGCUCCUCUACUGGAUGCAGAUGACAGCAAGACCCUGGGAGGUGGCCAGCAACCCGGGGGAAGCACUUGGCUCCUGAAAGGAGGGAAAGCUACCUCUUGGCCUGCAUUACUCUCGUGGGACCCGUAGGCGAAGAAGACAUAAACUUCUGUCCCAAAGCCAUUGUUUUUUUUGGGGGGGAUCUAUUUGUUAAAGUAGCUACUGUUACCCUAAUUAAAAAAAAAAAAGUAACAGUUAACAAGGAAAUCGAUGACUAUGUCCUGAUUGAAUUUUAUUCCUAUUAAAGAACACAUUGCCUAAUACAGGUAUAAAUGCACAGGAAAAGUUCUGGAAGGUAAAAACCAAACUAGUGAUAAUGGAUUCCUCCAAAGAGGGGAGUGGGAUGGAAUAUGGUGGUCACUGGGGACUUCUGCUUCAUGUUACUGAAAUUUUUAUGAGGAGGAUAUUUCUUGAAUUACUUAUGUAAUUAAAAAUCAUAAAAGAAAUUGGAUUGCCUCCCUGGGCAAUUGCUUGGCUUGAAGAACUCCUUUUUGUGUCUGUUCUCAUUUAUGUGAAGGAAAUAGAUAAAAACUUUUCAUCCUGGCCCGUUCACUGAUAUCCCGUAAUCAUGAGAGAUUAUUGGGAAUAAUUCCCAGAUUAGGGUUUUUGGCAGUUAUAAGGAAAUUCAUUGAAAAUUUUUUUAAAAACCCCACAGAACACCCUAAAAGGACUUAGAAGAAAAAUGCUAACAGAUCAACCACGAUAGCAAGAACAACUGUGUGCAAGUCUAGAAAUAUUUCAGUGAGACUGGCGAGGUAGUGCGAGUGAAUUCAUAAAUAGGUCUUUUAAAGAAAACAACACUCAACGGAACCGUCCCCCUUGGUGGUUGCACGAGCGGUCCUGGACAGCACCUUUGAGCCGAGCUACGGUGGCCUGAGGCAUCACUUAGGAUGGCGCGUGACAGCAGUGGGCUGCGAGCGGGCUGCGAGCGAGCGGGAGCGCUGGGCCUCCGGGGAGUUAUCAGGGCGCCUUGUGAGGCGGGUCCCCGCGGGAGCGAGCCGGCCUGCACCCAGCAGGUGGCAGCCGAGAUGUAAUGGGGUCACCAACAGGGAGCCUGUGAGCCGGGAAGGACGCGGCCUAGUGCGGAGGCUCCAGUGCCCGGGACCGCCUGGCGGGAGGUGAACGACCCCAGUCUCCUCCUCCUGGGUUCAGCUCAACGCUGACAUCGUCCCGAUCUCCGUCUGCCCAAGUUCCAUCCACUCCAGGGUCAGCUCGAAAGCUCUCGGUGUCCGUGGCCUUCCCUGAUCCUGGC